rnacentral:rRNA from 1 species
CGCGUAGGUGGAUCAAUCAGUCUGCUGUGAAAGUCAAAGGCUCAACCUUUGAAAGCCGGUGGAUACUGUUGAUCUAGAGUACGGAAGAGGCGAGUGGAAUUCCUGGUGUAGCGGUGGAAUGCGCAGAUAUCAGGAGGAACACCAAUAGCGAAGGCAGCUCGCUGGGACGUCACUGACACUGAGGCGCGAAAGCGUGGGAGCAAACA